GGGCCCUGCUAUUUGUUAGGACAUAUAUAUUUUUAAAUUACAUUACAAAGCAGCCUUUAUUGCAUCGGGGUAAUACGGCAGAGUGAAUAAUAAUAAUAACAAAACAAAAACACGGCGGCAUCGUUUAAAAAAUUCUUUUACUUUAUUAUUAUUAUUUUUUAAUCGAGAUUUUUUUUUUCCUUCCUUUUCCUGUUUCUCCCUCCUCUAAAUUUCGGCUUCUGCUUUAUUUCAAACGUCUCCCUCCGGCUCAACCCGGAGCCCUUCUGCUGUUUUAAUGAGGGGAAGAAGGGGAGAACGUGUCUCCAGGACCUCGGGGGCAGUUCUGCGCCCACGUGUGGCUUUCCUACCCUGAGAGGCACCCUUGAAGAUGAGCAGAUGCUUAUGGACAAACCACCCAGGAAAUGGGGUCUGGAAGAGCCAGCAGAACCCACGAAUGUAUCCAGCCCUAUGUGCCAUGAGGGAUCCUGGAGUCUCAUGCCUUCCCCAUCAUUGCUCUGGUUGUGCUCCUGUGAGCUCAAGACCCGUCUCACAUCACGUACAUCUCAGCUGGAAAGAGGAAUUAAAGAUCUUGCAGUAAAUAAAGAUGAAAAC
rnacentral:lncRNA from 7 species